GUCCUUUUGAUUAUAAUUUUAGGUCUUGCCUGCCCACUGAAAAUUUAAAUGGCCGCGAUAUUUUGAUCGUGCUAAGGUAGCAUAAUAAUUAGUUUUUUAAUUGAAAGCUGGAAUGAAUGGUAGAAUGAAAAAAUAACUGUCUUUAAUUAAUUUUAUUAGAAUUUUAUUUUUAAGUUAAAAAGCUUAAAUAAUAUUAAAAGACGAGAAGACCCUAUAGAGUUUUAUAAUAAUUUUAUUUUAAUAUCUUUAGUAAUAAUAAAAUUAAUUUAUUUAUUAUUAUUAAAUUGGGAUGAUUUAAAAAUUUAACUAACUUUUUAUAUAUAAAUACAUUUAUAAAUGAUUAUUUGAUCCAUUAAUUAUGAUUAUAAGAUUAAAUUACCUUAGGGAUAACAGCGUUAUUUUUUUUUAGAGUUCAAAUCAAAAAAAAAGAUUGCGACCUCGAUGUUGGAUUAAAAUGAAUUUUUGGUGUAGAAGCUAAAAUAUUAGGUCUGUUCGACCUUUAAAAUUUUACA
rnacentral:rRNA from 1 species